rnacentral:rRNA from 1 species
GACGAACGCUGGCGGCGUGCCUAAUACAUGCAAGUUGAGCGCUGAAGGUUGGUACUUGUACCAACUGGAUGAGCAGCGAACGGGUGAGUAACGCGUGGGGAAUCUGCCUUUGAGCGGGGGACAACAUUUGGAAACGAAUGCUAAUACCGCAUAAAAACUUUAAACAUAAGUUUUAAGUUUGAAAGAUGCAAUUGCAUCACUCAAAGAUGAUCCCGCGUUGUAUUAGCUAGUUGGUGAGGUAAAGGCUCACCAAGGCGAUGAUACAUAGCCGACCUGAGAGGGUGGUCGGCCACCUUGGAACUGAGACGCGGCCCAAACUCCUACGGUAGGCACCAGUAUGGAAUCUUCGGCAGUGGACGAAAGUCUUACCGAGCAACGCCGCGUGAGUGAAGAAGGUUUUCGGAUCGUAAAACUCUGUUGGUAGAGAAGAACGUUGGUGGGAGUGGAAGCUCAUCAAGUGACGGUAACUACCCAGAAAGGGACGGCUAACUACGUG